AUUGAACGCUGGCGGCAGGCCUAACACAUGCAAGUCGAACGAGUGGCGGACGGGUGAGUAAUGUCUGGGAAACUGCCUGCUGGAGGGGGAUAACUACUGGAAAAGGUAGCUAAUACCGCAUACCAUCGGAUGUGCCCAGAUGGGAUUAGCUAGUAGGUGGGGUAAAGGCCACCCUAGGCGACGAUCCCUAGCUGGUCUGAGAGGAUGACCAGCCACACUGUAACUGAGACACGGCCCAGCCUCCUACGGGAGCCAGCAGUGGGGAAUAUUGCGCAAUGGGCGCAAGCCUGAUGCAGCCAUGCCGCGUGUAUGAAGAAGGCCUUCGGGUUGUAAAGUACUUUCAGCGGGGAGGCGUUACCCACAGAAGAAGCACCGGCUAACUCCGUGCCAGCAGCCGCGGUAAUAC
rnacentral:rRNA from 1 species